GUGAACCAAGUUAGCCAAUCAGCAGCAGACCCUCCCUCCCAGACCCUCCCACCUCCUGGACAGCUCACUAAGAAUGCAGCUUCACAAUGAAUGUAAAAUGGAUGCUGUCCAGGAGAUGGGAGGGUCUGGGAGGGAGGGUCUGCCGCUGAUUGGCUGGAAUGUGUCU
rnacentral:miRNA from 1 species